rnacentral:rRNA from 1 species
GUGUCAGCCGCCGCGGUAAGACGAACCGAGCGAACGUUGUUCGGAAUCACUGGGCUUAAAGGGCGCGUAGGCGGGCUGCCGCGUCCGGGGUGAAAUCCUCCGGCUCAACCGGAGAACGGCCCCGGGUACGGGCGGCCUCGAGGGGGGUAGGGGCGUGCGGAACUGUGGGUGGAGCGGUGAAAUGCGUUGAGAUCCACAGGAACUCCGGUGGCGAAGGCGGCACGCUGGACCCUCUCUGACGCUGAGGCGCGAAAGCCAGGGGAGCGAACGGGAUUAGAUACCCGUGUAGUCC